rnacentral:piRNA from 1 species
UGUAAACCGAGUUUUCUGGCAAAGCC